AUGGCCGACUCCGGCGACUCCUCCCCCCACUCCGCCGCCGACGACGCGCACCACCACCACCACCCCGACUCCACCACCACCACCAACGCCGCCCCGCCCCCGGCCCCGGCGGUGCCGGCCAAGGUGCGGCUGAUGGUCAGCUACGGGGGCCGCAUCCAGCCGCGGCCGCACGACAACCAGCUCUCCUACGUCAACGGCGACACCAAGAUCCUCUCCAUCGACCGCCCGCUCCGCUUCCCCGACUUCUACGCGCGCCUCGCCGGCCUCGCCGCCGCCCGCGGGGACCUCUGCGUCAAGUACCAGCUCCCCGGCGAGGACCUCGACGCGCUCGUCUCCGUCACCAACGACGAGGACCUCGAGCACCUCGUCAUCGAGUACGACCGCCUCCACCUCUUCCGCGCCCCCGCCGCGCCGGGAUCUGGCGGUUCUUCCCGGGGCGGCUCCACGCCCAGGCUCCGCGUCUUCCUCUUCCCCGUCGCCCCGCCCCCGCGCCCCGCCUCCCCGCCCAAGCCGCCGCAGCAGGAGCUGCAGCGCGAGUGGUACCUCGACCUCAAGUCCGCCAGCCCGCCUCCGCUGCCGCAGGCCCUGCCGCCGCAGAUGCAGAACCAGCAGAUGCAGCAGCCGCAGGUCAUGAUGAAGCAGGAGGCGGUGCCCGUCCAGUCGCCCCCUCCCGCCGCGCCCAUGGCCGUGCCGCAGUCGGUGGUGGCGGCGUCCAAGACCGGCCCCGACUACCUCUUCGGCUUCGACUACGGCUUCAUGCCGCCGCCCGCGGUCAAGGUCAAGGACCCGGCCGGCGAUCCGCCCAAGAUGAGGGAGAACGUCCCCGUCGAGAUCCCGCCCAAGAAUGAAGACCGACACCCCAACCCCAACCCGGCCGCAGACAACAACAACAACGCCAUGGUGUCUCCCGCCGUCUCGCCCGCCGAGUUCCCUCGCCAGAUCCCGGACCUCGAGAAGCUCCAGCUCGCUGACAACGCCACCCAGCAGCAGCAGCCACCACCAGCUCCUGCUCCGGCUCCGGCGCCCCAGGCCGCCCCUGCUCCUGCUCCGGUCGUCGCCCCGGCCGCCUCUGUCCCGGCGCCCUUGUCGAGGAACGGCAGCGACGACUCCCUCACCCGCGCCUACCCUCCAGCCACCGCCACCCCGACUGCCGCAGCAGAGUACUAUGUCACCAAGUUCCCGGAGAAGCCCCCCGUCCCGCCUCCAUCAUCGGCUCCCCCUGCGGCGGCCUUCCUGCCGGUGCCGGGCAGGUAUGGAUCUGUUGCCCCUGGCUCUGGCGCCGACCCUGGCCCUUUCUUCUUCAUCCCGGCGCCGCCCCAUGGGUACUACACCAGCGCCAACCCCGGCGGCACCUCCUACUACGCCGUCCCGCACAACAACGGCAAUGCCAACGGGAACGGCACCGCCCCCGCCCCCGCCGUGUCGAGCGCUCAGGGCUACCCGCAGGUGGCGUACGACAGCAACGGCCGCGCCGUCUACUACACCGGCCUGCUCCCACAGUACCCUUCGGCCGUCAACGGCGGCGGCAUGUCGGCGUCCUCUGCCGUGCUCGGUACGGAGCCCUCGAAGCCGGUGGCGGUGAAGCCGACCGUGUCGUGA
rnacentral:rRNA from 1 species